UUCUAGCACAAUUGGGCUAUUUUUAAUGACAUUGUGUGGUCAAAAAGGGGCUUGGGCGGGUCGAUUUACAGAUAGGGUUGUAUAUCGUAUAGCUUUUGGGCGGGGUUUUGAGGAGUCUUCGGGUGAUUUAUCGGUAUUCUCUCAAUAAAUCUGGCAACCGCGCCAGGCCACCCGCGGAACGCUUCCUUCGUGACAAACUUGUGUGUGGUAAACAUUUUAUUACGGGAAAAGAAGUGGAAGAUAUGACCGGAUUCUGUCAACCACGCCGAGGUUGUGAAAAAGCAGACUUUGCAUCAUUAUCGACUUUGCUUCUGCAUCACAGGAUUGGAGGACGUGCUGUGGUAGCCAGGUCUGGUAGAGAGGUACUCUCCCCCACCUCCACCUUCAAACAAAAAUCAACUCUGCCCUUCAGUCGGAGCCUUCCUCAACCUGCCUGCUCCCAAACAUCCCAGAAUGGUUCCCAGAUGCCUACAAAUACCAUGCGCCUCUCCAACACAUCGCUGAGACCUUACGUCGAUACAAACAGAAACAUACCACAGACUCGCAACGCCCCUUCACUCCAGAUGUAGAAAGGUGAAAAAGGAAGGAAGUCUCUGUUUGGGAUGCCCACCUCUCACAGCUGUGAGGAUAACACCAGGACUUAAACAGCAUCUGAGUGAACGACGGAAGGACAAUCGUCACAGAGAUUGAUGGUCGCCUCCUGACCGGGUCCCUUUAAGAAGAGCCAUGUCUACUGCCACCCUCGUCUCCAUCUCCUCCCGCAUCACCAGUCACCAGGCAACUGUGCAUCUCUCCCUCCAUCUCCCUCUCAGACUUGCUCUCUUUCUCACCUCUGGCUCUCUGCAAUUCGAUCUAUACGGGUCAUUUAGCACCGUUAUCCAAAGAAACGCGACAUUUCUCAUGCUGGUCCAGUGUGGGAAUCGAACCCACAAAAACCCUGGAGUGGCAGUCUUGCUCUACCGACUGAGUCUUUAUUUCGCUCUCUCUUCUCAGAGUCUAGGUGUGGUUGAACAUA